rnacentral:rRNA from 1 species
GACUAUGGCCAUGCUACCCUGAACAAACUGGAUCCCGCCUGAUCUCAGAAGCUAAGCAGGGUCAGGCCUGGUUAGUACUAGGAAGACCAGAUGCUGUAGGUG